rnacentral:lncRNA from 1 species
UAGAUUAUAUUCUUGGUGAUUAUCUACAUUGUUCGCAACUUUACAUAAUGUAGGUGUUGGUGAUAUAGCUAUAUGAGGGGAUUUUUGAUUAAUAACACGUUGUCUUUUCUUAGUGCUCUCAAGUCUAAAGACCAUGGUCUAGGGGUUAGUUUCUCUUUCUUGGAGAUGAGUUUCACUACUAAAGUAUCCAGUGUUAUGUAGUUGCUACCAUUCAAGUACAAUAUAUGCAAAUUGACAACAUACAUACUACUAUAAUAGAUAGAGCCAUAAUAUAGAUUAUAUUCUUGGUGAUUAUCUACAUUGUUCGCAACUUUACAUAAUGUAGGUGUUGGUGAUAUAGCUAUAUGAACGGAUUUUUGAUUAAUAACACGUGGUCUUUUCUUAGUGCUCUCAAGUCUAAAGACCCUGGUCUAGGGGUUAGUCUCUUUUUCUCUAUUAAUUUUUCUAUGAGAUCAAUUUUUUCUUUUUGAUCGAAUAUAAAUUUUAGUAAUCAAUACAAAUCCAAGUUACAAUCAUGAUUAGAAGGUGUUUAUAAAUCCCGUCAGGUGAUAAUACUCGAACACAAGAAAUACAAUUCAGACCCUACUACACAGACCCACAGUGGUACAAAUUGUGUUGUUGAUAGUACCAGUACCAGUCAAUCGCUACUACCUGUACAGAGGUAUUUGUUGCCCUGUUUUGGUGUUGCUCUGUUCCUCCGUUACUGGUAUGCGUAAAUUGUUGUCCAUACCGUUCGAAGCUCAUAGAAGUUAUGACCUUCUCUGUCCUUCAGUCCUUCUCUGAAUUAUGAAUUUUUAAUUUACUAAUAUUAGGAGUUAACUAAAUAAUUUUUCUUAUAAAUUUUUUUUUUUUUUUUUAACUCCAACAUAGUUGUGUAAAGUGUAAACGUCACUGUGAACUCUUCCCCUCUUUAAAUAUUGUUGCAAUUCUCAUGAUCCAGAGUGUCCAAAGUACUAUAUAUGGAUUGCAACCCAAAUUCCUCACUACAACAAAUUUGGGUAUUUGUGACGCAAUAUUUUUGUCACUACAUAUGCCACUGAUCUGCUUAAUCUAUUUGCCUAAAGAGGAGGCUCAUAAAGUGCCCUCCUAAGCUAAAUGUUAUGUAUGAUAUAUUCUAAUGUUACCAUUUUGCAUUGCAGGGGUUUAGAUUGUGUUCUAUCAACAUGUUCAAGUGACUCGACGUUUUACCUGCUACAACAAUUUGCAAGUUGUCAUGAUUAUAUUCAUAUUUGUAGAACAGGUACAAGGUUUAAUUGAGUAGCUAAAAUCAAUAUCAUAUGGAAGGGAAAAAAAAAUUAUUCAAGUCCAAAAUCUUCUCAUUGUUUAUUGUCAAAAAAUAAAAACUCAUUGUUUAUUGACAAAAAAAAUAAAAUAAAUAAAUAAACCUCUUUAUUAAAUAAGUAUUUAUCAUUAAUAUAGAAUUUUUGUGAUUGGUUUUGAAUAAUGAGUUGGGGAAAAUAGUGUAAAAAGAUUGGAGGUGUUUACUUAUAUAGUAUAUGUUCGUUUUAUAGAUAUACUAACAGGUAAAACAAGACAUUAUGCACACAUUUACUUUUUCAACUAACACCAAUCAUAUUCUAAAGAUAGAUGGCAUCCAAGAUCCAUGGUAUUGUUCUAGAUUUGAGUCCACAAGUGGUUAAGCAAUCCUUUUGGAAAUUAUCACCUUCUAGAGUACAUAAACAUUAUAGUGAUAGUGCAGUUGGCUUGAAAAUGUACGGUUUGGUGGUGUUUUGUGAGAUAAUGUACUAUCAAGUUGGUGUUCACUAGAGGCACCUCUGAACAAUCAUCAUGCUAGAACUGCCUGCAGGAUGGUACCAUUAAACUGACGAAGGCCCCCUCGGCCCUCUCCGCCAUCAUUUCUCUUAGCCGCAAAAGGACAUAGGGAAGCAAACACCUGAAAGUGCCUCUCUCUCUCAAGAUUAAAAGAAAAAAAACAGGUGCUCAACGACCAAGAAUGAUUGAUGCUGACAAGAUCAUAAUAUUUAUUGAUUCCAUGGCAGCAAGGAUAAUUAAAGAAGCUACUCUAUGAUCAUGACUUUGUGUUAGCUUUUGUGAAGCUUAGCAAGGAGUAUUCAUUCAUUCAUUAUUCUUCAUUUUAUACGAUUACAGAUAAACCAACCAAGUGGACUAUUUAGUUGACUUCGGAUGUGACAAUGUACAUGUUGUAAACGCUUAUAUUUAGUCUAUUUGAUUGUAAGUUAACUGAGCCCCUUUAUGGAGAUAUCACUAAUCGUCCUCAUAUUAGAGUUAAAUUUUAAUGAAUUGGAUGUGGGGAGGUAUGCCAAACCCCAC